ACGAUCCGGUCGGGAGAGCCUCGGCGCACGCCGAGCACCGAAGGAGCAAGCCUCCCCGCCAAUCUCUCAGGUAUCGCGUACCGCCCGGAUCCG
rnacentral:ncRNA from 1 species